CCCCCUAAAAGUGUAGUAAAGAUAAAAAGAUUAACUAUUGUUGUGUGAUUAUUGAACAGUCGCGUGCUCCUUCACCACAUUAUUUAUUAACUGUUUUGUCGCACAAUAACACGUGCAACUUUUGUAUUAAUAUGGACAAUCAUAAGUAAACCCAUACAACAUAAAGUAAUUCCCCCUUAAAUAAAGUUCUGUGAAGUGAAAGUCCACGUUUUAAAGCGAGAGUUAAGAUAUUUUUUUUGCAUAUUUCGAGAGCAAAUUCUACUUAGAAACGCACUGCUACAGCUUUGAGGGCUAGUCUUCACUCCACGCCUUUUCACCCAAAAGUGAAUCACGCGAUUAUAAUCUAGAGUUUAAAGAGCCCUGCUCUGUUCAACUACUAAAUGUGCAGUUUACAUCUGAAAUAAGCGAUAAGAGCAACUAUUAACCCGCCAGGAAAGCACGGGGUUUAGACUGGCCUGCGAGUGCCGAUAGUUUUGAUUAAAAGGAAAGAUACAUGGUGAACGAACUAAAAGCUGUUUCAUUCUCGAUGAAUAUUUCCCCCUUGGUCCGGCUAUUCUGGCAAAGGAAGUAUAGAGAGCAGUGAUUCUCCUCAUGUGUUGGAAUACAGGCUGUGCUCUAGUGAUGGGCAGAUCGAUUCUUAAAGGCACAAUAUUUUGGGAAGGAGCCACUUUCUAUUCCAGCAUGAAAAUGCCCCUGUGCACAGAGAGGUCCAUGGUGUACUCAGUCUGGAGUAGAACCUUGACUAGUCCACACAAAGCCCAGAGCUGGACCUCACUGAACACCUUUGGGAUGAUUUGGAAUGCAGACUUCAAGCCAAGACACAUCAGCCAACAACAGUGCUUGUCUUUACUGUGUGUGAAUUGGAACAAAUCCCCGCUGCCAUAUUUCAACAUAAUGGCAAAGCCUUUAAAGAUAAGUGGAAGCUCUAGCAGUUAAGGAAAGAAGAACUUCUUAUUAAUCCCAUUGGUUUUGAAAUUAAAUGUCAAUCAUAUGGGCA
ensembl:lncRNA